ACAUGUGACCAAAUCACCCUGAAUGCGCCCGAUAUCGAAUGUUGGUAGCUGAGCAGGUAUGGACCUGGUCAGUACUCAGACUGGGAGACUUCCUGAGAAUUCCAGGUGUUGUUGGAU
rnacentral:rRNA from 1 species